rnacentral:rRNA from 1 species
GCCAGCGGGGAUAGCACGUUGAAUGCACCAUUGCACCAGUUCCCAAUGGAUCACUGAAGGUAAUCAUCAUUGCACGUGGUUGGUAUGUGGAUGGGUGAGCAUCUGGGCUACCGUUUGCAGUUGGCU